rnacentral:rRNA from 1 species
CUCGUAGGCGGUUCGUCGCGUCCGGUGUGAAAGUCCAUCGCUUAACGGUGGAUCCGCGUCGGGUACGGGCGGGCUGGAGUGCGGUAGGGGAGACUGGAAUUCCCGGUGUAACGGUGGAAUGUGUAGAUAUCGGGAAGAACACCAAUGGCGAAGGCAGGUCUCUGGGCCGUUACUGACGCUGAGGAGCGAAAGCGUGGGGAGCGAACA